rnacentral:rRNA from 1 species
GAUGAACGCUGGCGGCGUGCCUAAUACAUGCAAGUCGAGCGAACAGAUGAGGAGCUCGCUCCCCUGACGUUAGCGGCGGACGGGUGAGUAACGCGUGGAUAACAUUCCUAUAAGACUGGGAUGACUACGGAAAACCACAGCUAAUAAUGGAGCAUAUGAUGAACCGCAUGGUUCAGUAGUUCAUGACGGCUUUGCCGUCAGUUAUAGCUGGAUCGGCGCCGGAUUAGCUAGUUGGUAAGGUAACGGCUUACCAAGGCAACGAUGCGUAGCCGACCUGAGAGGAUGAUCGGCCACACUGGAACUGAGACACGGUCCAGACUCCUACGGGAGGCAGCAGUGGGGAAUCUUGCGCAAUGGGCGCAAGCCUGACGGAGCCAUGCCGCGUGAGUGAUGAAGGCCUUCGGAUUGUAAAGCUCUUUUAUUAGGGAAGAACAGAAGCGGAUGAAUCCCUGGCUGUCUUGACGGUACCUAAUGAGAAAGCCACGGCUAACUUCGUG